CUUCAUUUAGAGGAAGUAAAAGUCGUAACAAGGUUUCCGUAGGUGAACCUGCGGAAGGAUCAUUAACACUAUACUUUCAUAUCAACCUCUGCGCAUCAGUCUGAACCUCUUCUUGUGGGGGUCGGUUAGGAUAUGGUUGGGAUACAGUAAUUGUGCUGUAUUUGCUGCCUAACCUGCUUUUAAGUUUUCCCGUCGCUUCGGCGGCGCAUGGUUAACGCUCCACUUUUUGAGGACUUUCAGCCAAAUGACCUUGGCUGGCCCUUUCUAUUUUUAACCUUUGAUUUAAUGAACUGAUUUGGGCUUCGGAUUGAGAGGAGCAAUCCUUUCUCCAAGCUUUUGGUGGAUUUCGAUCCAUUCAAUAACCAAAACACAACUCUUAACAGUGGAUAUCUCGGUUCUC
rnacentral:misc_RNA from 1 species